rnacentral:rRNA from 1 species
UACGUAGGGGGCGAGCGUUGUCCGGAUUUAUUGGGCGUAAAGAGCUCGUAGGCGGUUCGAUAAGUCGGACGUGAAAUCUCCACGCUCAACGUGGAGGGGCCGUUCGAUACUGUCGUGACUCGAGUCCGGUAGGGGAGUGUGGAAUUCCCGGUGUAGCGGUGAAAUGCGCAGAUAUCAGGAGGAACACCGGCGGCGAAGGCGGCACUCUGGGCCGGUACUGACGCUGAGGCGCGAAAGCUAGGGGAGCAAACGGG